GACAGAGGAGCCAAGCGUUGUCCGGAUUGACUGGGCGUAAAGCGCACGCAGGCGGCGGCGCGCGUGGGGGGUGAAACCUGGCCGCUUAACGGCCAGCGGCCAUCCCAUACGGCGCGCCUGGAGCCUUGCAGAGGGCGGUGGAAUUGCCGGUGUAGUGGUGAAAUGCGUAGAGAUCGGGAGGAACACCUGUGGCGAAGGCGGCCGACUGGGCCGACCCUGACGCUGAGGCGCGAAGGCGUGGGGAGCGAACGGG
rnacentral:rRNA from 1 species